GACGAACGCUGGCGGCGUGCUUAACACAUGCAAGUCGAACGGAAAGGCCCUGCUUUUGUGGGGUGCUCGAGUGGCGAACGGGUGAGUAACACGUGAGUAACCUGCCCUUGACUUUGGGAUAACUUCAGGAAACUGGGGCUAAUACCGGAUAGGAGCUCCUGCUGCAUGGUGGGGGUUGGAAAGUUUCGGCGGUUGGGGAUGGACUUGCGGCUUAUCAGCUUGUUGGUGGGGUAGUGGCUUACCAAGGCUUUGACGGGUAGCCGGCCUGAGAGGGUGACCGGCCACAUUGGGACUGAGAUACGGCCCAGACUCCUACGGGAGGCAGCAGUGGGGAAUAUUGCACAAUGGGCGGAAGCCUGAUGCAGCAACGCCGCGUGCGGGAUGACGGCCUUCGGGUUGUAAACCGCUUUCGCCUGUGACGAAGCGUGAGUGACGGUAAUGGGUAAAGAAGCACCGGCUAACUACGUGCCAGCAGCCGCGGUGAUACGUAGGGUGCGAGCGUUGUCCGGAUUUAUUGGGCGUAAAGGGCUCGUAGGUGGUUGAUCGCGUCGGAAGUGUAAUCUUGGGGCUUAACCCUGAGCGUGCUUUCGAAUACGGGUUGACUUGAGGAAGGUAGGGGAGAAUGGAAUUCCUGGUGGAGCGGUGGAAUGCGCAGAUAUCAGGAGGAACACCAGUGGCGAAGGCGGUUCUCUGGGCCUUUCCUGACGCUGAGGAGUGAAAGCGUGGGGAGCGAACAGGCUUAGAUACCCUGGUAGUCCACGCUGUAAACGGUGGGUACUAGGUGUGGGGUCCAUUCCACGGGUUCCGUGCCGUAGCUAACGCUUUAAGUACCCCGCCUGGGGAGUACGGCCGCAAGGCUAAAACUCAAAGGAAUUGACGGGGCCCCGCACAAGCGGCGGAGCAUGCGGAUUAAUUCGAUGCAACGCGUAGAAUCUUACCUGGGUUUGACAUGGAUCGGGAGUGCUCAGAGAUGGGUGUGCCUCUUUUGGGGUCGGUUCACAGGUGGUGCAUGGCUGUCGUCAGCUCGUGUCGUGAGAUGUUGGGUUAAGUCCCGCAACGAGCGCAACCCUUGUUCACUGUUGCCAGCACGUUAUGGUGGGGACUCAGUGGAGACCGCCGGGGUCAACUCGGAGGAAGGUGGGGAUGACGUCAAGUCAUCAUGCCCCUUAUGUCCAGGGCUUCACGCAUGCUACAAUGGCUGGUACAGAGAGUGGCGAGCCUGUGAGGGUGAGCGAAUCUCGGAAAGCCGGUCUCAGUUCGGAUUGGGGUCUGCAACUCGACCUCAUGAAGUCGGAGUCGCUAGUAAUCGCAGAUCAGCAACGCUGCGGUGAAAAAGUUCCCGGG
rnacentral:rRNA from 1 species